GACGAACGCUGGCGGCGUGCCUAAUACAUGCAAGUAGGACGCAGUUGCGAGCGGGGGAUUAACGCGUAGGUAACUACCUGUUAGAGGGGGAUAACUAGUGGAAACGAUAGCUAAUACCGCAUACGAGUCGAUGGACCUGCGGUGGAUUAGCUAGUAGGUGGGGCAAUGGCCUAACAAGGCAACGAUACAUAGCCGACCUGGAAGGGUGAUCGGCCACACUGGGACUGAGACACGGCCCAGACGCCUACGGUAGGCAGCAGUAGGGAAUCUUCGGCAAUGGGGGGAACUCUGACCGAGCAACGCCGCGUGAGUGAAGAAGUUUUUCGGAUCGUAAAGCUCUGUUGUUAAGGAAGCGGUACUUAACCAGAAAGGGACGGCUAACUACGUGCCAGCAGCCGCGGUAAUAC
rnacentral:rRNA from 1 species